CCUACGGGAGGCAGCAGUGGGGAAUAUUGCACAAUGGGGGAAACCCUGAUGCAGCGACGCCGCGUGAAGGAAGAAGUAUUUCGGUAUGUAAACUUCUAUCAGCAGGGAAGAAAAUGACGGUACCUGACUAAGAAGCCCCGGCUAACUACGUGCCAGCAGCCGCGGUAAUACGUAGGGGGCAAGCGUUAUCCGGAUUUACUGGGUGUAAAGGGAGCGUAGGCGGUUUGGCAAGUCAGAAGUGAAAGCCCGGGGCUCAACUCCGGGACUGCUUUUGAAACUGUUGAACUAGAGUGCAGGAGAGGUAAGUGGAAUUCCUAGUGUAGCGGUGAAAUGCGUAGAUAUUAGGAGGAACACCAGUGGCGAAGGCGGCUUACUGGACUGUAAAUGACGCUGAGGCUCGAAGGCGUGGGGAGCAAACAGGAUUAGAUACCCUAGUAGUC
rnacentral:rRNA from 1 species